rnacentral:lncRNA from 1 species
AAAGAGCAUCCCUGACGGGGGCUCAUCCGCCUUCCCGUAAACUGCAGUUCUAGGCAUUCUCAUUGUACCUUUAUCUGUAAACCCUGCGUUUUAGUUUCGGUGGAUGGUUCACAAGAAAAUCAAGGUAACCUGAAACAAAACACAAGACUAAGGAGCGCUUUUAAGCUCGAAGAUUAAAAUGAAAAUGAAGUAUCUGUCGUUCAGUUAAUUAGAUGGAAAUCAUUGAUUCCCUAGAAACAGCGUUUACGGUGACUCUCCUGACUUUGUGGUUAUCAUUCCCUUCCUUUUCUUGGGUUUAACCAGACCUGGUUGUAUUAUUUAAAAUAUGCUGCGUUUUCUUCUUCUGUUUUGUUUGUUUGUUUGUUUGUUUGUUUGAACAGAAGCAAGCACAAACCUAAAUGGGUGUAACCCUGGGUCAGUCCGGUUCUUAGCUCCUCGGGAUUGUGGAAGGUUCCAAGGAGAAAGUAGGAGACAUGGAGAAUAAGUGUGAGGGGUAUCCAAGAGUUAUAACCUGGUCAGAGUGGACUGCUCUCUUGUUUGUAGUUUCCCUGACUUUCCUUCAGCUCUUAGGAGUAGCUCAGAGUCAAACUCCUAUAAGUUAAAGUGAGAGCCAUCCCUAAACCCAAACAGGCAUGGAAGAGUAGGUGCACAGCUAACUCUCAAGUCAAGAGCAGAGAGCAACCUGCUCCCCCGCCCACAUGCAUUCUUGCAUUCUUUGUCAGGUUAAGGUAAGUAUGCAGUAGUACCCAGCGACUGCCCUGACCUCACAGUGGACCCUAAAACCAGUCAAGCAUCAGGGCUCAGAUUUCCUGGAGACAAGGUGGGAAGAGGACAGGUUGAGCAAGCACACACAUAAAUUUAGAGUGUAGGACAUGGUGUGGGAUAACUGGCUUGGCUUCUGAAACAAGUUAAUGACAUU